GAUGAACGCUAGCUACAGGCUUAACACAUGCAAGUCGAGGGGCAGCAUGAACUUAGCUUGCUAAGUUUGAUGGCGACCGGCGCACGGGUGAGUAACACGUAUCCAACCUGCCGAUGACUCGGGGAUAGCCUUUCGAAAGAAAGAUUAAUACCCGAUGGCAUAGUUCUUCCGCAUGGUAGAACUAUUAAAGAAUUUCGGUCAUCGAUGGGGAUGCGUUCCAUUAGCUUGUUGGCGGGGUAACGGCCCACCAAGGCAGCGAUGGAUAGGGGUUCUGAGAGGAAGGUCCCCCACAUUGGAACUGAGACACGGCCCAG
rnacentral:rRNA from 1 species